rnacentral:rRNA from 1 species
GCGGAGGAAAAGAAACCAACUGGGAUUGCCUCAGUAACGGCGAGUGAAGCGGCAACAGCUCAAAUUUGAAAUCUGGCGCCUUGGGCGUCCGAGUUGUAAUUUGUAGAGGGAGUCUCGGGUUAAGGGUCGGUCCAAGUGCCUUGGAACAGGAUACCGAAGAGGGUGAGAGUCCCGUAUCCGGCCGACGCCAGCGCCCGUGUGAGGCCCCUUCGACGAGUCGAGUUGUUUGGGAAUGCAGCUCUAAAUGGGUGGUAAAUUCCAUCUAAAGCUAAAUACUGGCCAGAGACCGAUAGCGCACAAGUAGAGUGAUCGAAAGAUGAAAAGCACUUUGAAAAGAGAGUCAAACAGUACGUGAAAUUGUUGAAAGGGAAGCGUAUGUGGGCAGACUUGGACGCUGGAUUCAGGCCGUCUUCUGGCGGGUGCAUUUUCCAGCGGACAGGCCAGCAUCGGUUCUGAGGGCCGGACAAAGACGAAGGGAAUGUGGCUCCUCUCUGGGGAGUGUUAUAGCCCGGCGUGCAAUGCGGCCACUUGGGACCGAGGACCGCGCAUUU